GAGAUCUCGUUCAACUGCUAUUUAGAAUCAGACGUGCCAAAUUAGGGUCGAAAUGAAAACAUACAGAUCUCUAGAUCUCUAAGAACAGGGCUG